rnacentral:rRNA from 1 species
CCCGUUAGCGCCGAUGGUACUGCAUCUCGUGGGAGAGUAGGUCGCCGCCUUGU